rnacentral:sRNA from 1 species
AGAGCAUGCCUUUUCAGGCAUCCUCUCCCAAACUUUUCAAGCCCGGCACUUGGUGCCGGGCUUUUUUCUUGCGCGCU